rnacentral:rRNA from 1 species
UACAGAGGGUGCGAACGUUGCUCGGAUUUACUGGGCGUAAAGCGCUUGUAGGCGGGCGAAUGUGUCGGGGGUGAAAUCCCUGAGCUUAACUCAGGAACUGCAUUCGAAACUAUUCGUCUUGAGGAAUUGAGAGGAGAACGGAACUCCCGGUGUAGAGGUGAAAUUCGUAGAUAUCGGGAGGAACACCAGAUGCGAAGGCGGUUCUCUGGAAAUUAUCUGACGCUGAGAAGCGAAAGCGUGGGGAGCAAACAGG